CGCGUAGGAAUCUGCCUUUUGGAGUGGGACAACCUGGGGAAACCCAGGCUAAUACCGCAUAUGUUGAGAGAUGAAAGCAUGGGAUCUUCGGACCAUGUGCCAAGAGAGGAGCCUGCGUCAGAUUAGCUUGUUGGUGGGGUAAAGGCCUACCAAGGCGACGAUCUGUAGCUGUUCUGAGAGGAAGAACAGCCACACUGGGACUGAGACACGGCCCAGACUCCUACGGGAGGCAGCAGUGGGGAAUAUUGGACAAUGGGCGCAAGCCUGAUCCAGCAAUGCCGCGUGUGUGAAGAAGGCCUG
rnacentral:rRNA from 1 species